AUCCUACAGAACACUUCAAACCCUAGGGGAAACUGGAAGGAGACUGGACGCUGAAAUGAUAAUGUGGAAAUCACCCUGACUGAACAGGAACAUCUGUGUUGGAUUUCGUUGUGGAAUGGACUUCAGUUUGUCACAGUGCUAGACAAAUGCUUUGAAGAAGAGGAAGUCAUAGGCCUUCACGCUUGGACUGAAAUCUACACCAUUGGCUCUCUAGCUCUCAGGCUUUCUAACUACACCAUUGGCCUUUCUGGGUCUCCAGCUUGGAGACUGCAGAUCAUGGGACUUCUCAGCCUCCAUCAUUGUAUGAGCCAAUACCUUAUACAAAUACCUGGAAAGGAAGAAAAAGGAGAAAACACCUCCAAAGGAUGAAGAAAUUAU